GGCCAAGUAGCUCAGUUGGUAGAGCAGAGGAUUGAAAAUCCUUGUGUCGGUGGUUCGAUUCCGCCCUUGGCCACCA
rnacentral:tRNA from 1 species